AUUGAACGCUGGCGGCAGGCCUAACACAUGCAAGUCGAACGAGUGGCGGACGGGUGAGUAAUGUCUGGGAAACUGCCUGAUGGAGGGGGAUAACUACUGGAAACGGUAGCUAAUACCGCAUACCAUCGGAUGUGCCCAGAUGGGAUUAGCUAGUAGGUGGGGUAAAGGCUCACCUAGGCGACGAUCCCUCGCUGGUCUGAGAGGAUGACCAGCCACACGGGAACUGAGACACGGCCGAGAUCCCUACGGGAGGAAGCAGUGGGGAAUAUUGCACAAGGGGCGCAAGCCUGAUGCAGCCAUGCCGGGUGUAUGAAGAAGGCCUUCGGGUUGUAAAGUACUUUCAGCGGGGAGGCGUUACCCGCAGAAGAAGCACCGGCUAACUCCGUGCCAGCAGCCGCGGUAAUU
rnacentral:rRNA from 1 species